CGUUAAGUUGCAGGGUAUAGACCCGAAACCCGGUGAUCUAGCCAUGGGCAGGUUGAAGGUUGGGUAACACUAACUGGAGGACCGAACCGACUAAUGUUGAAAAAUUAGCGGAUGACCUGUGGCUGGGGGUGAAAGGCCAAUCAAACCGGGAGAUAGCUGGUUCUCCCCGAAAGCUAUUUAGGUAGCGCCUCGUGAAUUCAUCUCCGGGGGUAGAGCACUGUUUCGGCUAGGGGGCCAUCCCGGCUUACCAACCCGAUGCAAACUGCGAAUACCGGAGAAUGUUAUCACGGGAGACACACGGCGGGUGCUAACGUCCGUCGUGAAGAGGGAAACAACCCAGACCGCCAGCUAAGGUCCCAAAGUCAUGGUUAAGUGGGAAACGAUGUGGGAAGGCCCAGACAGCCAGGAUGUUGGCUUAGAAGCAGCCAUCAUUUAAAGAAAGCGUAAUAGCUCACUGGUCGAGUCGGCCUGCGCGGAAGAUGUAACGGGGCUAAACCAU
rnacentral:rRNA from 3 species